CUGGCUCAGGAUGAACGCUAGCGGCAGGCUUAACACAUGCAAGUCGAGGGGUAUAUCUCUUCGGAGAUAGAGACCGGCGCACGGGUGCGUAACGCGUAUGCAAUCUGCCUUUCACAGAGGGAUAGCCCAGAGAAAUUUGGAUUAAUACCUCAUAGUAUUAUAGGAUGGCAUCAUUUUAUAAUUAAAGUCACAACGGUGAAAGAUGAGCAUGCGUCCCAUUAGCUAGUUGGUAAGGUAACGGCUUACCAAGGCAACGAUGGGUAGGGGUCCUGAGAGGGAGAUCCCCCACACUGGUACUGAGACACGGACCAGACUCCUACGGGAGGCAGCAGUGAGGAAUAUUGGACAAUGGGCGCAAGCCUGAUCCAGCCAUGCCGCGUGCAGGAUGACGGUCCUAUGGAUUGUAAACUGCUUUUGUACGAGAAGAAACACUGAUUCGUGAAUCAGCUUGACGGUAUCGUAAGAAUAA
rnacentral:rRNA from 1 species